UUGGAGGGCAAGUCUGGUGCCAGCAGCCGCGGUAAUUCCAGCUCCAAUAGCGUAUAUUAAAGUUGUUGCAGUUAAAAAGCUCGUAGUUGAAUUUCGGGGUUAGCAGGUCGGUCGUGCCAUCGGUAUGAACUGGUCUCGCUGAUCCCUCCCUCUUGACGAACUGUGAUGCCAUUAAUUUGGUGUCGCAGGGAAUCAGGACUGUUACUUUGAAAAAAUUAGAGUGUUUAAAGCAGGCUCACGCUUGAAUACAUUAGCAUGGAAUAAUGAAAUAGGACGUUUGAUCCUAUUUUGUUGGUUUCUAGGAUUGACGUAAUGAUUAAUAGGGAUAGUUGGGGGCAUUAGUAUUCAAUUGUCAGAGGUGAAAUUCUUGGAUUUAUUGAAGACUAACUACUGCGAAAGCAUUUGCCAAGGAUGUUUUCAUUAAUCAAGAACGAAAGUUAGGGGAUCGAAGACGAUCAGAUACCGUCGUAGUCUUAACCAUAAACUAUGCCGACUAGGGAUCGGAUGAUGUUAAUUUUUUAAUGACUCAUUCGGCGCCUUACGGGAAAA
rnacentral:rRNA from 1 species